CCCGUGAAAUGGUCAUUCAACCCCAAAUGGGGUCUUGACCCACAGGUUGAGAACCACUGCUUUAUUUGAAAGUCAAAUUCAUCAAAUAGCAAAAGAGUUGUAAUGGGAUUUUUUUCCCAUAAGAUGUCCUCAGUGGACUGUAAACUCUUUCUUCCAAAUAGGUAAAAAUGUAUCUCUUUUGGAAGCAGAAAAAACAAAAGCCAAUAUCUCCAAUAUAAUAGAUAGAGUAAAAAAUAUAGCAUUUCUUUUUUUAUAUUUUUUUCAAGGCCCCAGGUAUCCAGAAAGAAAAAUCAAGUAGUCAAUAAAGCUUUAAUUAUUUUAGUUCUUUUAAAACUUUCUUUCCCAAGUAGACAAAAACUGCACUCUUAAGAUAGGGAAGUGAUCAAAAACUUUUUACAGGCAAAUAGUCAGGACAGAGAGAGAGGGAGGAAAGGUCUCACCUGGAUUCACCAAGGUGGUUCUUUAUGCUUAGAUGAUUUUCUGACUUCGGCUGGCACAGCUAAGUGAUCGCCAUUUUACUGGCUGAUCUUCUCCGGCGACCCUAUGGAGUUAGUUCGGACUGUAGAGGGAGCCGCCGCUCCACUGCAGCCGAGCAAAGCCUCCUCGAUGGUAGUCGCCUCUCCAGGGCAAUUUAAGACCCACAUAAGGGUCUACCGGCAGAGGGAAUACAGCCGACAAAGAGAGAGGUCUCUUUGUAUGACUGAGGUGCUGCGAUCCAGAAGUGGAAGUCCAUAGUUUUUUGUCGAGGAUGCCGCCUGAGCUGCAAUUGCCUGCAAAAUUGCCUGAGUGUCUCUUUGAUGAACGUCCAUUUUUUUCUUACUGCAGCACUGUCCUGAUUGAUUUUUGAUCUACUGGACUUGCAGAAGUCAAGGCAGGGGCGGAAGAUCCUUUUUCCCAAGUUUAGAUAGGUUUUAAACGCUCAUCAUUGUGUUUAUAUCUUAUAUUGUAAUCCACUAGGUAGCCAAAUGGCCAGCUUUUUUAAUCUAAUAGGCUCCUAUUGAUAGUAGAGAAAAUCCACAAAAAUAGUUAAAAAUAAAAAGAAAAGAAAAAGGUAAAAAAUAGCCACAGGAGAAAAAGGAGGAAAGGAUAAUAAAAAGGAGAGAAAAAAGAAAAUACUCCCAGAAUAAAAAGGAUAAAAAGAAAAAAGAAAAAGUAUCAAAAUUAUAGUCCACCAAAUUCUUGUUAAAAAAAUUCUUAAUUUCCAAUUCUUCUAAGACAGCUUGUUAUAUUUCCAAAAACAAUAAUUAUAAUCCAAAGAAGCAGAUGGCUCCAAAUACCCUUUAUUUAUCAAUAUAGUCUGUCUUGUGAGGCCAAAUAAACCAAAGACAAGUUUUUUCUCAGCAACAUUUCAAGGUCUUAGAUAAAAAAUGUCUGGGCAUGCAGCCAAACUUCUAGUCUAAAUCAUCUCCAAGCAAAAGAAAGUGAAAAAAGUUCUCAACGUAGCCAUCAGGUGAAACAAAGUAUCCAUUCACAGCAUGUUUAAAAGGAGAAAGAGAAAAAAAAUAUGAGAGAGAGAGAGAGAGAGAGAGAGAGAGAGAGAGAGGGCGCUCUAGAGCACUUGCUCAUGAUCUGUCCAAUGAAAUUGGCUUACACUGCAGUUGAGCAGGAGCAGGACUUUUUUGGUAGUGUCCUAGUUAGAAACUCUGCUCAGGAAAUAUAGCUCCCUAUUCUGUUGUCUUGCCUUUUAGAUAAACCUGUUUUUCUUCAGGCCCAUUAGAAUUUAUCUUCUGUUGUCAACAUGAUAUUUCUCUAAAAAUGGACAGAAAAAGAGUAAAUUUGAUUGAGAUUAAGCCAGCAAGUCAAAUACAGAAUUGAAAAGUGGACUGGCUCCAGCUAGGGCUAUACAGAAGAAAAAAAAAUCUCAGAAAAAUGGGCUUAAUUAGGGCUUUAAACAGGAUAACCUUCAAUAAUAGGUAAAUACUACCUAAAAGUAAAAAAUGGUGACAAGAUAAAUGAAGAUAUGGGAAAUUAGAAUUGUGCUUCAUAUGGACUGGGGCACUUCCAGGUGGACCAUCUCUAGCAUCAGUUCAGUACUAACAAAAUUUUAUUUUCUCUUGAUUUAACAUUCUCUUGAUUCUCUAGUCAAACAUUAUAGGCUGGCUAAGAAAAGCACUGGAGACAGAUAAAAAAGACUGGCUAAAAGAAAAUGAACCAGAAGUAGAUCAGGAUGGAUAUUAUCAAACAACACUCCCAGCUAUUGUAUUUCAGAUGUUUGAACAGAAUCUUCAGGUGGCUACUCAGAUAAGUGAAGAUUUGAAAAUAAAAGUGCUGCAUUUGUGCCUUCAACAAAUGAGUUCCUUUCUUAACAGGUAUAAAGAGGAACCAUAUUUAUAU